rnacentral:lncRNA from 1 species
CUUUUUUAAUUUGUACCAAUUUUCUUUUCAGUUUUAAUUUGUACCCGUAUAUUAAUUUCUUUUUGUGCCCAUAUUUUUUAAAGUUUUAUUUGUAUUUGUACCCAUAUUUUUUUUAUUUAUUUGUACCCAUUUUGUUUUUGCUAAAUGUACCCAUGUUAAUUAUAUGUACCCAUUCAUGUAUUUUUUUCAAAUUUUUAAUCUUAAAAUGUACUCAUUCUUAAAUGGGGUAUUUUGAUAUAGGUCCAAAGUAACUAAAAAUUGGACCUAUUUCAAAAGUAGGCCUAUAAAAUUGGAUCUAUUACUCAUUCUUAAAUGGGGUAUUUUGAUAUGGGUCCAAAGUAACUAAAAAUUGGACUUAUUUCAAAAGUCAAAAGUCACUAAAAAUUAGACUUAUUUCAAAAGUAGGCCUAUAAAAUUGGAUCUAUUUCAAAUUUUCCCUUCUUUUAAAUAUACCAAUUGUUAUAUGUAAAAUGUACCAUUUUUUUAUAUAAAAUCUAUUCAAUUUUUUUCUAAUCCAUUUUUAAACUUAUAUGGGUACAUUCUUUUUUCUUUGAUUUUAAAAUGUAUAUAUGUCAAGUUUAAUCGAAGAAAUUUACUAAUGUUAUUAAGCCUAAUAUCUUUUUUUUUUUGUGAUUUUGAAGAACGUACCCAUAUUUUGAUACAAUAAUUUUUUGGUUAAUUUUGAUGAAUGUACCCAUGUUUAUACACACACACAAUAGUAUAUUUAUAUUUUAAUAUUUUUAAUCCCACAAAUUAUGGUUUUUUUUAUUUAAAAUCUCAUUUAUACAAACAACUAAAUUUUUUAAUUUUUAAUUUAAAAAAUAUAGUAAUGUACACAGAAAUAAAUUAUCACAUUAAUUUUAGGGACUUUGAUCAAAAAUUGAAAAUCAACAAGGUUUCAAUAAAAAAAUAUUCAUAGCUAGGGACCACAUCCAAAGUCUCUGUUAAGAGAAUAAUGUUACAAUGUUGUGGUGUGUGUGUGUGUGUGUGUGUGUGUGUGUGUGUGUGUGUAUAUAAGUAACUUCAACGUCAUAAGAAUAUUGUUUAAUUUGCUUAAAUUUAGGAAUUCAUUGUUAGAGAAAAUGAAUUUCAUUGAUUAAGAGAAUAAUGUUACAAUGUUGUGGUGUGUAUAUAUAUAUAAGCAAUUUCAACUUCAUAAGAAUAUUGUUUAAUUUGCUUAAAUUUAGGAAUUCAUUGUUAGAGAAAAUGAAUUUCAUUGAUUUAGAGAAUAAUGUUACAAUGUUGUGGUGUGUAUAUAUAUAUAAAAA